rnacentral:rRNA from 1 species
CACAUACGACCAUAUGCAGCUGAAAAUACGGCAUCCCGUCCACUCUGCCUGAGUCAACAGCUGACAGCCAAACUAGUACUCAGGUGGGUGACCACUGGGGAUUCUUUGGUGUUGUAUGUUUUUG